AUUUAUCAAGAUAUAUUUUUAUGUAUUUAAAGAAAACAUAAACCCCGCCAUUGUACGGUAGACAAUAGACUCGGAUGCAUUCCACUAAGUCAGCCACAUUCUUGCUAGACUUGUGGCGGUGAGGAGUGAGGAGGAGCCCGGCUGUUUAUUCAUUCACGUCAGUCCCUCCUCCUCCGUCCCCUUCCUUCCUGCUCCGCGCCACGGCUCUCCGCCGCUCCAACUCUCCCCCGAUAUCCACCAUAAUAUUCACUAUCAUCACAGUCACGUCGCCACCAUAAACCCAUUUUGGAAUCAGAUGGCGUCGCAAGGGGGGAUGGAGAGAGCUGGAGAGAGACGCAUAAAGGAGUAGGGGCUACAACAGGCCAGAUCCAGCCCAAUUCUAUCCAAUACCAAUCCAUACAUAGCCCCUUAUGACAUUCGUCUUCUUGCGUAGGCCCGUCUUGGAACAAAGUUUUCCCGUUAAGUUGUAGUAGGGCCCUUUUUAAAGAUACAGUGCAAGUCAAUACGAAUAUGAGUAUUAUGAAGAGCAAAGUGAGAAGAGCAGGCUUGUAUAUGGGGUAACGUUAUGCCACUAACCAAGAAGCUCCGUUUACUCGCAACCCCUUUUGCUUCGUGUCAAAAUGUGAGACUGCAGAUGCAAUGCUGCAGCAACACCUAUAUGUGUGCAAGUGUUCAUUAUGGGUGUAUAGAUAGGGUAUUAAUGGGUAAUACAUGCUACCCUCACCAGUUGGCCGAGGCGUCACUUGAUUGUCAGAAAUUGUUGCCUGUGCCAUUCAAGCUAGUGAGUUAUGACUACCAUAAUCUGCACUGCAUAACCGAGGAAGUCCCGUGUUCUUCUCUAAUCAUCCUAGGUAUGUUCCUCAUAGGCAUUUCUAAGGCAGAUGCCGUUUUUUAACUUGGAUCCCCGUUGUUUUGAUGUUGCUACCAGUUAGGCUGUUGCAUCUGAAAUAAUGUAUAAAGCCCUGGGUCUGCACAUGAUGCAACGUCUAGUUCAAUUGUACGUGUAUGAUGGCUCAAUAUGCGUGUUCACAGCAAUAGCCUGCAUGCUGCACAUGCCAGACAGGCCCGUAUUCGGUGGAGUUCAGUGGCUAACAAAGGUUACUACGACAUCCUCCUUGUUGGCCAUAGACAUCCUUGUGUCUGUUGAGCUGCUUUCAGUUUAAAGAGGACUGCAUCCUUUCUCAAACAUCUUCACCCACCUACUUUGAACAAAGUGAAACUGCCAUCACAUUUCAAGGAAGCUUGUGUUUGUGUGUGACUGCAUAAGGUUUAGUGGCUCUUCAGUGGGUUGAUGUUGUGUCUCAUAACUGUGCGCUACUGUUGCUUGGCCUGCCUUAUGUACUGUGGUCGUCUGUCUUGUGUGCUGUCUUGCCAGUUAUAUUUAUUUCAGUUUGUGCCCAGCUGAGUUGAGUGCUGCAUUUAUCAGACUGCCUUUAUCAGCCCCACUGGUCUUUAGAGUGGAAUGGUUUCUUGUAGUGAUAUAAUGGUGUCUAUUUGCUACAUCACUAGUGUUGUAGUUAGAUAGGUGUUUGCAUAGUAUUAUUAAAUAGUAACAACCUCAAAUGUAAUAAAUUGUUGAUUAAUUAGCCGUCAUAAAAUCCAGCAUCAUAGGCAUCAUCAAAAUACAUGCCGCUGAAUUAUUAUUGGAUGCAUUGUUGUCUUGUUCGAUACCCAUUUCCCAAAGCUCAGAUCAAUAGGGAUAUAUUGGUAUUUCGGCUACACAACCCCACGCUGAGCUCUGGAUCAUGUCACAUAGUCUAUGAAUCAUAGCAGGCCGGCAGUGUAGGCCAAAGCGUGUAGGCCAGCAACAUGGCAGGCCCGGCCAUCGGCAACAUAAUCCGGGCUAGGUCGACCGUAAAGACCCGUUUAAUUUCCCGGUCACCCAAAAUCUCUCCGCUCUCUCCCGCUCAUUCAAUAAUGUAUUGAACGUCUAUGUAGACGUAGUAGAAUGGAGGUUGUGGUGCUAGGAUAGAGUUGGGGUAAAGGGUUCAGAACAGCAGCUGAUGGUGUCAGCACAUUGCAGUGCUUUGCUCUGCUGCGGGCUGGGUUAAAAAAAGGGGAGGGGGAGAGAAAGGAUGAUGUUUCUGGAAGCACAAAGGCCUAAUGUUUUAGGGCUUGUUGGCUAUAGCUGUAGCUCUCCACCAACUAUAGCUAACAAGUGCUCUUCCAAAACCUGUUUUAAAUCCUGUAUAUAUUCUUCCGGAUGUCUGUUGUGUGUUGAUGUUCUUGUAGGUCAGCACUGGGCUAUGCCUGGAUUGUAGCAUAGAUUGCAGCUCAAAAUGGAAAAUAAUAAUAAUUGACCCAAUCUUGUACUGCUUUAGAAACGUGAGCCAAAGAAUAAAGGCAGCAAAAGCAAUGCUUCUUUCAUUUCAACUUCCUACAAGUAUCAUGUCUCUAGAAAGCAUGGUAUAUAUGCUCAGCUCUUAUGCAGGAGACUUCCAUUGUGAUCCAAAAAACUCAUUCUCCAGCUUUGUUGUGCAUAAAUGUAUCACUAUGAUGUACCAAGAGUUGGAGAGAGAGACAUUAAGGUCCUUCUCAUUCAGGCAAUCAGAAAGACCUACGAUUACAGAAGAGGGCAUUUCAAUGCUGUAUGCCAAGAAGAGUAAUAUGUGUACAAGCACUAUACUAACUGUAUGAGAUAGUGUUGUGUGUAUUAUGGUUAAACUUUUUUUUUGGGGGGAUAAAGCAUGUUUGAGCGAUCUUUGAAAAUUUGGCACAUAAAAUGCAUGUCAUUUACACUCUGCUAAUUGUGACACACACACACACACACACACACACACACACACACACACACACACACACACACACACACACACACACACACACACACACACACACACACACACACACACACACACAC